UCUCGAUUGGUCUAGUGGUAAGGAUACCUGCUUGUCAAUCGACGCAAGUCGCAGGUGGCCGGGGUUCGAUUCCCCGAUCGAGAG